CGAGAAGCGAGCCUGCGAAGGCAAGCGGAUCUCUUAAAGCUGUUCUCAGUUCGGACUGCAGUCUGCAACUCGACUGCACGAAGUCGGAAUUGCUAGUAAUCGUAGGUCAGCAUACUACGGUGAAUACGUUCCCGGGCCUUGUACACACCGCCCGUCAAGCCAUGGAAGCCGGGAGUGCCUGAAGUGUGCAACCGCAAGGAGCGCCCUAAGGUAAAACCGGUGACUGGGGCUAAGUCGUAACAAGGUAGC
rnacentral:rRNA from 1 species